UACAGAGGUCUCAACCGUUGUUCGGAUUCAUUGUGCGUAAAGGGUGCGUAGGCGGUCGUGCAAGUCGGAUGUGAAAUCUCAGGGCUCAACCCUGAAACUGCAUUCGAUACUGUGCGGCUAGAGUGCUGGAGGGGAGACUGGAAUUUACGGUGUAGCAGUGAAAUGCGUAGAUAUCGUAAGGAAGACCAGUGGCGAAGGCGAGUCUCUGGACAGCAACUGACGCUGAGGCACGAAGGCCAGGGGAGCAAACGGG
rnacentral:rRNA from 1 species